rnacentral:rRNA from 1 species
CCUACGGGUGGCUGCAGUCAAGAAUAUUCGGCAAUGGGCGAAAGCCUGACCGAGCGACGCCGCGUGCUAGAUGAAGCCCUUCGGGGUGUAAAUAGCUUUUUUCAGGGACGAACAAAUGACGGUACCUGAAGAAUAAGAGGUUGCUAACUCUGUGCCAGCAGCAGCGGUAAUACAGAGACCUCGAGCAUUAUCCGGAAUUAUUGGGCGUAAAGGGUCCGUAGGCGGCUCUCUAAGUCAUGCGUCAAAUCCUUGGGCUCAACCCAAGGGCUGCGUGUGAUACUGGAGAGCUCGAGAUCGGGAGAGGCACAUGGAAUUACUGGUGUAGCGGUAAAAUGCGUUAAUAUCAGUAAGAACACCAAAGGCGAAGGCAGUGUGCUAGAACGAUUCUGACGCUGAGGGACGAAAGCGUGGGUAGCGAAUGGGAUUAGAUACCCCAGUAGUC